GGAGGGACCUGUAAGAUCAUGUAAAAGGCAGAAGGUUACCUGUUACAAGGUUUAAGGAAACUAGACUUACUUCUUGGACGAGGUGCCAGAACAGUUCAUGAACUGCAUCUGCCCUUCAGAGAUAACUGAAACACACGUGAGAGCCACACCCAGCCCAGAAUGGCAGAAGAAAAAAGUCCUAAAGGAGCCAAGACUUUAAAAUGAUGACAGAUUUUAUCUGAAAGAUUCUUCCGGGAGCAAUUUAUAGUUCUGUGAAGUGUCAAUGACAGCAGCUUCUACAGGGAGAUAUGGAUUCUUCUUCAGCUUCAUAGCCUUUGGCACCUUGUGGAAAGGUGUGACUCAGAGGCAUCUUGUACAGAAAUUAAGGUGCAGGAAGAUUUCAAUAAAAACAAACGGGGCAGUCAGUUUUAAAAUAUUUUAAAUAUUGUUUUAAGUCAUUUUUAAAGAAUAAUAAUAGGCAGUAAACUGUGUUGUGCUGCCCUAAUUGCAGUAAAAAUUCAGAGAAAAGGGUACAAUGUGAGCUAAAAGAGCUGGGCAUAUAGCAGAUGCCUAGUAAAUAUUUGUUGGAG
rnacentral:lncRNA from 1 species